rnacentral:rRNA from 1 species
UACGGAGGGUGCGAGCGUUGUCCGGAAUCAUUGGGCGUAAAGGGUGCGUAGGCGGCGCGGUAAGUCGGGUGUGAAAUCUCGGGGCUUAACUCCGAAACUGCAUUCGAUACUGCCGUGCUUGAGGACUGGAGAGGAGACUGGAAUUUACGGUGUAGCGGUGAAAUGCGUAGAUAUCGGGAGGAACAUCAGUGGCGAAGGCGGCCUUCUGGUCCAGUACUGACACUCAAGUGCGAAAGCGUGGGGAGCAAACAGG